GGGUUAGUGUUCUAAUUGGUAUGAAAUUUUCUUGUCAAGAAAGUAAGUGUCGGUUCGAGGCCGAUCUAACCCG